rnacentral:rRNA from 1 species
UACGGGGGGGAGCAAGCGUUGUUCGGAUUUACUGGGCGUAAAGGGCGCGUAGGCGGCCACCGCAAGUCAAUUGUGAAAUCUCCGGGCUUAACUCGGAAAGGUCAACUGAUACUGCGGGGCUAGAGUGCGGAAGGGGCAACUGGAAUUCUCGGUGUAGCGGUGAAAUGCGUAGAUAUCGAGAGGAACACCUGCGGCGAAGGCGGGUUGCUGGACCGACACUGACGCUGAUGCGCGAAAGCCAGGGGAGCGAACGGG